rnacentral:rRNA from 1 species
UCCCAGUUCGGAUUGUAGUCUGCAACCCGACUACAUGAAGCUGGAAUCGCUAGUAAUCGCGAAUCAGAAUGUCGCGGUGAAUAUGUUCCCGGGUCUUGUACACACCGCCCGUCACACCAUGGGAGUUGGAAAUGCCCGAAGUCAGUGACCCAACCGCAAGGAGGGAGCUGCCGAAGGCAGGUCCGGUAACUGGGGUGAAGUCGUAACAAGGUAUC